rnacentral:lncRNA from 1 species
AUGGAGUGGCUUCGACAAGUCUAACUCGGAGAUAUUCCAGUUGGAGGUUCCGGCCACCAUGCCAGUUGUGAAAGAGCGGAGCGGGCUUGACAGCGUUGAGAAGUUCUUGCGAUGGACAAUGGGCACAAAGUGAGGCCAUCCUACGUGCUGCAUGUAUAAAUUUUAGCUUCCCACUGUUUAAAUUUAUACAAGUUUGUGUUCAAGACAAGACGUACAACUACUCUAUAAACACGAAAAUAAUUACAAAAAUAUGACAGAUCAAAGGUAAUUAGGAUACAAAUAUAACUUGGGAGGUUUGUACAUGUUGUCUUGCUUCAAAGAUCCAACCCAUAUAUGUAAAUUGACCAAAAGAUAAGAACUUUUUGAUGGGGCUACGAGGUGGGAGAAAGGAAACUACAUAUGGCUUAGGAAUAAGACGGAUAAAGUUGAUAAACGAAGCGUAUUGAAGGCCAACUAUCGGAAGGAAAAUGAGAUGCAAACCAUCAACAGGAAGUCUUCGUACUCUUAGAUAUGAAAAGCAUGCAUGUUGCAGUCAGAUCGGAUUAAUUGAUAUUUCAGUUGAGUAAAAGAAAAAAUCAAUUGAGCAACAAAUUAUGAAUUAUGGUUAAAUUGCAAAUCAAAUGAACCAGUAAAAAAUAGGGCCAAAAUUUCACAGCUCAAACUUAAAAUAUCAACUCUUUUUCUAGCCCAAAUCCCAUAAAAACUGGUCCAAACCCUUCAAAUUUACUAAAUCCAACCCUACCCCCAAAUGUAAAACAAAGGCAGCCCUUAAUGUGUCGGAGUGUACCCCUGAACCAAAACAAAAUGCAAUAGCUUUCUAAUUUCUUUGGCCUUCGCUGGUUUCUUUUAAACCUUUGAACUGUCUAAAUUUAUUGAUUUUUGAGAUUUGUUUUUAUCAUUGUCUUUGUUCACUCUUUAUUCGUUGCACCUUCAACCCUUUGAAUACAACAAGAUAAAACUAGAGAGUGUUCCGAAACUUUGAGUUUGAAGAUUAAAGAAAACAUUAAGAUUCAAGAUUAGAGAAAAAAGAACAGAAAAAAAGAAAUUACCAUAAAAAAAAAACAAGGCUUGAUUGGUUGUCAUCAAGAUUGUUGUAUAGCCCAAAUUAUGCCCGGCCCAAAACCAAAUAAAACAAUUACAAAACCCAAACAGCAGGCCCAACUUCCACAUCAAAUGACCCAAACAAUAAAAAACCUAAAGCCCACCUAGCCCAACAAACUAAACAUUUUCAGCAGCCAAAAAACCCUAGUCACCAAGUUUUCAGCCGCCACUCCCUUUAGCCUUGGCCAUCACGCGCGCCACCACCACCGUUCGGGGCACCAACCACCGGCCUUCCAUGCGCCUGACACUCAUCUGUCACCUGCAAAGAAAGAUUCGCACGCAAGCAGUAAAAACGAGAAAGAAAAACGACAAAAAAUAGGAGUAAAUAAUCUUGUAAAUGGCUUUAAAAGCCACAAUCUCAUAUUUGAACAGGGGGUUUUUUUGUUUUAUUUUUGGUAGACAAAAAAGAAAUCUGAAAUACAAAGAAAAAAAGGGUUGCAGAAUAUUAAUCAAAAAUUUUCAAAGCAAAGAGAGGUUAGAUUCUUGAUUGCAAGUCUGAACGGAGUUAGAAUCCGAAUGGACCACCUUCCGUCGGCCACCGUUUGCGGUGGCUACAUGGUGGCUUGGGUUUGUCUUCUUUGGGUUUGAAUGGAUGAAAGCGGCUAGGGUUAAUAUCAAAAAGGGGAAGGGUUGAUUGAUCUGUUAAAGAGGGUUUUAUAUGCUUGAGGAUUGGGGGGUAUUUUCCUAAUUAACCCUCCAUUUCCUUUGCAUAUUUCAUUUCAACCCUUUUGUUUUUUUUAAUUCGAUUUAAAUUUCAAUUAGCCUUUUAUUUUAUUUUAUUUUAAUUCAUUGGUUCAUUCAUUCAUUUAUUUGUUUGUAUAUGUUAUUCGUUUAUAUAUUUAUGUUAAUUCUUGUACUCAAUUGUUAAUUGUUCCUCCAUUCUUUUAUUUCAUUAUUAUCACCUUAUUACUUGUCAGCUUUUUAUAAUCAUUCAUUUAUUCAUCACCUUUUUCAUAUAUUUUAUAUUAUCGUCAACUUUAAAUAUUUUACAUAUGUUAUUUCUUUUAAAUUUUUAUACGUAUUAAUCAUUUUAAAAUUUUUAUAUACAUCUUUAUAUUUUAAGUUAUUAUGUAUAUAUACGUAUAUAUUAUUUAUCUCAAUAUUCUAUCAUAUUAUCUAGUAGUAUCGUUUUAUAUGAUAAUUGCGUUAAAUUCUCUUUAUUGUUUGUUAUAAACUUUUCUACUAUUAUUAAUUUUAAAAUUUCAUAUGUUAUUUAUAUUAAACUUUUGUAUAUAUCUUUUAUAUGUUAAUGAUUUUAAAUUCUUUUAUUGUUAUUUGUUUUGAACUUUCUAUAUAUUAUUUAUUUUAAAUUUUUAUCUUAAAAUUUUACUUUGUAUUAUAUUUAUAUAUAAAUUUUCAUUUAAACUCUUUUAUACAUUUUUAUUUUAUUAUAUGUAUAUAUAUUAUUUAUAUUAAACUAUUUUUUAUUAUCACUGCUAUUAUUCUUAUUUUUAUACUAUUAUUUUUAUUGAUAACAUUAUUAUUGUUAUAUUUAGUAUUAUUAUUGCUUUUAUCAUAGCUACUACUACUAUUAUUAUAGUUUUUUUUUGUUGCUCUCACAUUUACGUAUUUCUUUUUAUAUAUAAUACAUUGAUUCCAUUUCAUCAUUUUAUUAUUUAUUCGUUUAUACAUUUAUAUAAUUUCAAACUUUGAAUUCUUUGUUACUUUGUAUCAUUAUUUUGUUUCAUACAAUACUUAUUUAUAUUUUUACUAUUGUUGUUAUUUUAUCAUUUUUAUUUAAAUUACAAAUUUGUGUGCAUAUUUUACAUAAUACUUAUUUGUAUUAUUUUUAUUAUCAUCGUUAUUAUCAUUAUUAUUUUAAAAAAUAUAAAAAAAAAAUUCACUUGAUGCUUCUUUAUUCAUAUGUUUAUUUGCUUAUUCUCAAUUUAAAAGUUAAGUUUUCACUAGAAUUUUCUUUAUUAUUUCAUGUAUCAUUGUAUUUAUUUUUAUUUUGUUUUAUUGUCAUCUUACUAUAUAUCUAUUCAUUUAUUCAUAUAUGUCUCUAUAUACCUGCAAGUUUAUGUUAUUCAUUAAUAUUAUUGUAUUUAUAUCAUCUUCGUUAUUAUUUUAUUACGUACAUCAAUAUUGCAAUUUGUUUUCUCAUUUUACCAUAAAAUCAUAAUUACAUUAAUUUUUUUUACCCGACACAUAAAAUUGUGCUUUCUAAAGUAAAACAAUAUUUUGUAUUUGGAAAUUCGGGAAAUCGUGCUCUAACUUAUUGGGUUCUAAUUUUUUCUCGUUUAAUCUAAAUAACAGCAUGUUCUUUUAAAUCAUAAUACGAGUUUUAAAUAAAAUGCUUACUCUCUGAGAUUUGAGGUGUUAUGUCCCAACUCACUGGAUAUAAUAUCUUAUUACCUCGAGAUAAGAUUUUUUGCAAAUAAGGCAAUAUUUCGUGUUUGAAAAUUUCGAGAAAUCGUGCCCUACGUGUUGGGUUUCGAUUUAUCAUUUGACCAAAUAAACGAAUAUCAUUUUUAAAAUUUCAAUGCAUGAGUUUUGAAAAUCAUGAGAUGAUUUUGGGUAUCGAUGGUUGGAAAUGUCGUGUCCUACGUGUUGGAUGUGAUAUUUUACUCCUUCGAAAUAAGAGAACCUUAAUAUCCACUUCAAGUUAGCUAAACAUUCAUAAAAAGGGAUCGUAUUUUAAAAUUUAUUUUAAAUCUUUUUCAAUUUUCGAUAUUAAGACAUUAAUUAAUCAAUUAGGUACCAAUUUUGGGCGUUACGAGGGUGCUAAUCCUUCCUCGUACGUAACCGACUCCCGAACCCGUUGUCUCAAAUUUCGUAGACCAAAAUGUCGUUUUAAUAAAUUAAAAUGUUUUAUUAAAAUAAGGGUGACCCGAUCACACCCAAUACAGAUCGGUGACGACUCCCGUUUUAAUUUUCACUUUCAAAACCAAAGUCGAUUCCCAAUUUUUUUCAAAAAAAUGGUUUCCACAAUUGUGAUUUAGAGGUGUAAAAGUAUACAAGAAAGUUUGAAGAUAAGAAACGGUUCCAAACAGAAAAUAAAGAAGACUCACCAAAAAAAGUAAAAGGAAGAUAAAACUUGAAAGGAGAUGGAUGGGUUUUUUACCCAAUUGGGUUAAAAAAAAUUUUAAAAUACCAAAAUAGGGUGUCAAAUACAUUAUUUACGGAAAUGGUUGUUUUUUUGGGUCGAGCCUACCUGACAGGCGCGACCCAUUUUUUUAAUAAUAUAAUUUUAUUUUUUUGAAAUAUUAUUAUUUUAUUAUAUUUUAAUAAUUUUUAAAUUUUUAAAAUUCAGUCGGGUCAAAAUCGGGUCGAGCCAAACCCGGAGGCGCGGCCAUUCGCUCCUGCAGCAGAGGCGCGACUUCCCUGCAGCCCGCCACGUGUCCCUGCCCCCCACCCCCCCAUCCCACCUGUAGAGACAGAGAGAAAAAAAUUAAAUUUUGUAAUGGGGGACCAUAUAAGCACCGGUCCCCCAAUUUUGUGAAUGCAGCAGCAAAGAGAGAAAAGAAGAAGAAAAAGAAGAAGAAGAAGAAGAAGGAGGAGGAGAAAGAAGAAAAAAAUGUUAGUAAUUUUUUUAUAAUUAUUUUAAGAUUAAAAUGUUAGUAGUUUAGUGUUAUGUGAUAAUUUUUAGUGUUUGUAAUUAUUUUAAAAUUAAAAAAAAGUACAUUUAAAAAAAAGCAAAAUAUUAGUAAUUUAAGAGUGUUAUGUAAUUAUUGUGCUUGAAUAUAGUUUAUUAGUUGCUAAUUUUUGUUUUUGUUUUUAAUACUACUUGUCAAGUCUUGCUUUAUUUGUUUUCUAAUUUAAACUUUUUUUGUUGAAUUUUCAAGUCCAUGAUUUUUGUUUUACUUUUAUCUAACAUCCUAUUUUGGUGUUUUAAUUUUUUUUAGCCUAGUUGGGUAAAAAAUCCCAUUAUUUUGCCAUUGAUGCUCGAUUUUGAUAGCUUGAUGGCAGCCUCCCUUUUAAAUAAAUAUAUAAAAAAAUUAAUAUUUUGCCAGUUAUUGUCCAUUUCCGAAUUUACUUGGAAUCAAUAUUUUUUGUAUUUUAUUUAAAAAAAACUUUACUAGCAUUCACUAGAGGUGAUCAUGGGCCGGGUCGGGCCAGGUUUGGGCCGGGCCCAUACAAAUUUUUAGGCCCGGGCCUGGCCCGGCCCAUAUUAAUUUUUUUAUUUCAUUAAAUAAAAAAAUUUAAAAAUAUAAUAAAUUAAAUAUAUUUAAAAACAUAAAAACAAAUAUUAAAACAAAUAAAAAUAAUACUAAAACAAUUCUUAAAACAAUACACAAAUUAAUAAUAUAAUAAAAAAUGGUUAUAUUAAAAUUUUAAAAUAAUUAAAAAUAAAAAAAAUAUAUUAAUAUAUAAUUCGGGCCGGGCCGGGCCCGGGCCAAAAAACUCUUACCCGAGGCCCGGCCCGUUUUCUAAACGGGCCUCGUUUUUUUGCCCAAGCCCAUUUUUCGGGCCUAUAUUUUUACCCAAACCUUCCCAUUUUUCGGGCGGGCCUUCGGGCCUGGCUGGGCCGCCCAGCCCAUGAUCAGCUCUAGCAUUCACUUCAUUGUUAACAAAAAGUGAGAAAUAUAGUGACUAAUACAUUCUAAAAAAUAAAAUAAAAAUUUAUACCUAUGUAAAAUGUAUAAACUUGAGAGUUAAUCUUUUCAAAUAUUCUUAAAUUAUAAUUUAAUUUAAUUUCAAACUUUUAAAAUUAAUUAAAUUUACCUAUGUAAAGUGUUAAAAAAAUAAUUCUUUUAAAUUUUAUAAAAAUUUAAUCAAAACUUAAGGAAAAAAUAAAAUAUUUUUAAGAGUAAAAUAGUGUUAGAAUUAAGUGACCCAAAUUCUUAUUUAAAUAAAAUACGAUGGAAAAUAAAAUAAAAGUAAAAUCCAUAUAGAACUAGACUUCUUUUAUUUUAUUUUAGAAUAAGGUUUUUUAAACCUUAUUAAACUCCAUCUAUUUUAUAUUGAUUAGGAUAAGGUGUUUCAAUUCUAGUAGAAUAUGGCUUUACAAGCCUAUAAAUAGACAUAGUUUAUUCCUCUUGUAUUGAUUCAAAUUUUCGACAUAGUGAAUUUUCUUUUCCUCUGCCCGUGGUUUUUUUCCCGAAAGGGUUUCCACGUAAAAUUUGUGUGUUCUUUAUUUAUUUUAUUUUAUUUUUCACAAAUUGGUAUCCGAGCUUCCGGGUUAUUCAUCUCGAUCACGGUAAUGGCGUCUUUGAAGUAUGAAAUUCCGCUGUUGGAUCGCAACACCAGAUUUGCGUUGUGGCAAAUUAAUAUACAAGCAGUUCUUGCACAGAUGGAUCUGGAGGAUGCCCUGCUAGGGAUAGAUAAGAUGCAUUCGACAUUAAUAGAUGAAGAGAAGAAGCGUAAGGAUCGAAAGGCAUUAACACAAUUACAUCUGCAUUUGUCCAACAAAAUUUUGCAGGAUGUGAUAAAAGAGAAAACUGCCGCUGCAUUAUGGAAGAGGCUAGAACAAAUAUGUAUGUCGAAAACUCUAACAAGCAAGUUGCAUAUGAAGCAGCGUCUUUAUGCUCAUCGUUUGGAGGAAGGUGCGUCUAUACACGAACACUUAACAGUGUUUAAAGAAAUUCUCUCAAACUUGGAGGCCAUGGAGGUUCAGUAUGAUAAGGAAGGUCUAGGGUUGAUUCUACUUUGUUUGUUGCCCCCGUCUUAUUCAACCUUUAGAGACACGAUUUUAUAUAGCCGCGAGUCUCUCACAGUUGAUGAGGUUUAUGAUUCUUUAACCUCGUAUGAUAAGAUGAAGCAUCUUCUGGUUAAACCCGACUCUCAGGGAGAGGGUCUCAUUGUUCGUGGGAGACAAGAUCGAAAUGCUGAUGAUGAUCGUGGUAGGACACAGGAACGGAAUCCUCGUGGUAAAUCUAAGGGUAGAUCGAAGUCUUCAAACAGAGGUAAAACUUGCAACUUCUGCAAGAAGAAAGGGCACAUUAAACCUGAGUGCUAUAAGCUACAAAAUAAGAUUAAAAGGGAGGCUACGAAUCAAAAGGGAAAACAACCAGAAAAUUCCGGUGAAGCUGAUGUUGUAGAAGACUACAGCGAUGGUGAACUUCUAGUCGCUUCUGUCAAUGAUUCUAAAGUAAGCGAGGAGUGGAUACUUGAUUCAGGCUGCACCUUCCACAUGAGUCCCAAUCGGGAUUGGUUUACAACUUAUGAAACAGUAUUUGAAGGUGUUGUUUUGAUGGGAAAUAAUGCUUCAUGUAAAAUCGCAGGUGUUGGAACAAUUAAAGUUAAGAUGUUUGAUGGAGUUGUCAGAACACUUAGUGACGUGCGGCAUGUUCCAGAAUUGAAAAGAAAUUUAAUUUCGUUGAGUACUCUUGAUUCAAAAGGGUACAGAUACACAGCUGAAAGUGGAGUUUUAAAGAUUUCCAAAGGGUCCCUUGUUGUGAUGAAAGGGCAGAGAAAAAUAUCCAAGUUAUAUGUUUUGCAGGGUUCUACUGUUACUGGUGAUGCAGCUGUCGCUUCCUUUUCCUUGUCAGAUGAUGAUAUUACUAAACUUUGGUAUAUGCGCCUAGGGCAUAUGAGUGAGAAUGGCAUGGCUGAAUUAAGCAAAAAAGGACUUCUUGAUGGGCAAGGAAUUUGCAAACUGAAUUUCUGUGAGCACUGUGUUUUUGGGAAGCAAAAGAGAGUUCGAUUCACUAGAGGAAUCCAUAACACGAAGGAAACGUUGGAGUAUAUUCAUUCUGAUCUGUGGGGGCCAUCUAGAGUGCCUUCGAGAGGUGGAGCUAAUUAUAUGCUAACCUUUAUUGAUGAUUUUUCCAGAAAAGUUUGGGCGUUCUUCCUGAAGCAGAAAAGCGAUGUGUUUUCCACAUUUAAGUCUUGGAAAAUUAUGAUUGAAAAACAGACGGGAAAACAGAUAAAAUACUUCCGUACAGACAAUGGCUUAGAGUUCUGUUCUGAUGAGUUUAAUAGAUUGUGCAAGUCAGAAGGGAUCAUGAAACACUUGAUAGUUCGUCAUACUCCACAGCAAAACGGCGUUGCAGAACGAAUGAACAGAACGAUCAUGGAGAAGGUUUGAUGUAUGUUGUCAAAUGCCUACUUACCGAAGUCAUUUUGGGCAGAAGUAGCCUCUACUGCAUAUUUUUUGAUCAACCGAUCUCCAUCCGUUGCCAUUGAGAAAAAGACUCCACAAGAGGUAUGGUCUGGUAAUCCUGCUACUUAUUCUGAUUUAAAGAUUUUUGGGUGUCCUGCGUAUGCUCAUGUUGAUAAUGAAAAAUUGGAACCGAGAUCCAUUAAAUGCGUUUUUCUUGGUUAUAAAGCUGGUGUAAAAGGCUAUAAGUUAUGAUGUCCUGAAAAUAGAAAAGUUGUGAUUAGCAGAGAUGUUGUUUUUGAUGAAACUGCUAUGCUACCUAACUUAUCUGUUAAAGACUCUUCCAAUAAAGAAAACCAAAAGCAGGUGGAGCAUCAGAUUAAUACAGAAUCAACUCCUCAAGCCAGUACAAAAAUUGAGAAUAGAGUUGCUUCUUCACCGCAAUACUCUAUCGCCAAAAAUAGAACAAGAAGAGAAAUUAAACCUCCAAAGAAGUAUGCCGAGGCUGAUCUAGUUGCUUAUGCUUUAAAUGUGGCUGAAGAUAUAGAUGCGAAUCAAGAGCCAUUUAAUUAUUCUGAGGCGAUUAGCUGUGAAGACUCAGAAAAGUAGAUGUUUGCAAUGCAAGAGGAGAUGGAAUCACUCCACAAAAACGGAACAUGGGAUCUUGUAAAACUUCCUAAAAGUAAAAAGGCUGUUCGUUGUAAAUGGGUGUUUAAAAAGAAAGAAGGGACUCCAGGAGUUGAAGAACCCAGAUAUAAAGCAAGGCUUGUUGCAAAGGGUUACAGUCAAAUUCCAAGAGUGGACUUCACAGAUGUGUUCUCCCCAGUUGUUAAGCAUAGUUCGAUUCGAGCUUUGCUUGGUAUUGUGGCCAUGCAUGAUUUUGAGCUUGAGCAGUUAGAUGUAAAAACUGCAUUUCUGCAUGGAGAACUUGAGGAGGAUAUUUACAUGCAACAACCAGAGGGUUUUACAGUCUCAGAAAAAGAGGACUAUGUUUGCUUGCUGAAAAAGUCCAUUUACGGUUUGAAACAGUCACCAAGACAGUGGUACAAGAGGUUUGAUUCCUUUAUGACUUCUCAUGAUUUCAAAAGAAGUAGUUUUGACAGUUGUGUCUACUUUAAGAAAAACAGUGAUGGUUCUUUUGUGUAUCUACUUCUUUAUGUUGAUGACAUGUUGAUAGCAACAAAAAAUAAAGUAGAGAUAAGAAAGGUCAAAGCCCAACUAAGUGAAGAAUUUGAGAUGAAAGAUUUAGGACCAGCAAAGAAGAUACUUGGUAUGGAGAUCCUUAGAGAUAGAAAAGCAAGUAAAUUGUACCUAAGUCAGAAAGGGUACAUUGAGAAAGUUCUUUGCAGGUUCAAUAUGCAGAGUGCUAAGCCUGUUAGUACUCCAUUAGCAGUUCAUUUCAGACUUUCAUCAGCUUUGUCUCCACAAUCAGAUGAUGAGAUUGAGUACAUGUCACAUGUUCCAUACUCUAGUGCAGUAGGAUCUCUCAUGUAUGCUAUGGUUUGUUCACGUCCAGAUUUAUCAUAUGCAGUCAGUGCAGUUAGCAGAUACAUGGCGAAUCCUGGUAAAGAAUACUGGAAAGCAGUUCAGUGGAUUUUAAGAUACUUACGAGGUACUACUGAUGUUUGCUUACAGUUUGGAAGAACUAGAGAUGGAGUCAUUGGGUAUGUUGAUGCUGAUUUUGCUGGAGACCUUGAUAGAAGAAGAUCUCUCACAGGUUAUGUCUUUACAAUCGGAGGUUGUGCAAUCAGUUGGAAAGCGAGAAGCCACUUUGCAAACUACAGUCGCUUUGUCUACCACUGAAGCUGAGUACAUGGCGAUUACUGAGGCUUGUAAAGAAGCUGUUUGGUUGAAGGGACUCUUUAGUGAAAUUAAUGAAGACCUUCAAAUCAGUACAGUAUUUUGUGAUAGUCAGAGUGCCAUCUUUCUUACAAAAGAUCAAAUGUUUCAUGAGAGAACAAAACACAUUGAUGUUCGGUAUCAUUUUGUUCGUGAUAUUAUUGCUCGUGGUGAUAUUGUUGUGAGCAAAAUUAGUACUCAUGAAAAUCCUGCAGAUAUGAUGACUAAGUCACUUCCUAUAACCAAGUUUGAGCAUUGCUUAGACUUGGUUGGUGUUCAUUGUUGAAGUUAAACCCUUAAGGGGUUUUAUGGAAGAGGUGGAGAACUUGUUUAUUGAAAGUUCGCGAUGAAGAACUUGUUCAUUAAGAAUUUGUGUCAAGGUGGAGAUUGUUAGAAUUAAGUGACCCAAAUUCUUAUUUAAAUAAAAUACGAUGGAAAAUAAAAUAAAAGUAAAAUCCAUAUAGAACUAGACUUCUUUUAUUUUAUUUUAGAAUAAAGUUUUUUAAACCUUAUUAAACUCCAUCUAUUUUAUAUUGAUUAGGAUAAGGUGUUUCAAUCCUACUAGAAUAUGGCUUUACAAGCCUAUAAAUAGACAUAGUCUAUUCCUCUUGUAUUGAUUCAAAUUUUCGACAUAGUGAAUUUUCUUUUCCUCUGCUCGUGGUUUUUUUCCCGAAAAGGUUUCCACGUAAAAUUUGUGUGUUCUUUAUUUUAUUUUAUUUAUUUUAUUUUAUUUUUCACAAAUAGACUAUUAAUAAAUUAUGCUUAUAUUUUAACUUGUAUAAAACACAUAACAAGAGAAAUAAUAUAUAUUAAAGAAUUAAACACAUUAAUAUAAAUGAUAUGUUAAAAUGCAUUUGGCUUUAUGAUUGGAAGUAAUGUAGUACUUUGCGGUUGAAUAGAUGCAUAAUUGACUAGUUGAAAGUGAGUAUAUGAGAAAUAAGUUACUUUGAAUAUGGAAAGAUGUUGAAUAAACGAUCUAAAGAGAGUAAGAAAUAAAAUUAAAUAAUUCUGAAGAGAGUAAGAAAUUUUAAUGUAAUUUUGAUAUAAUGUAAAUUUAUAAUUUUUAUUUAUUUGAUAAUUUUAAUUGCAAAUUUGCAGCAAAUGGGUUCGUUGAUUGAUAAUGAAAAUAAGGGUCACAUAUUGAGUAACAUUAAUGAAAUGGUAAUGAAAAUUUUAUUUGAUAGUCACAUUAUUUGUUGAAUGAAAUUAUAUUGUAUUAACCAUUUCAUAAAUAUAAUAAUGUCAGGUCGAGUACCGCGUAUUGAGGGGUCGUAUUUAUAAUGUAGGGUUUCAGCCUGAUGAAUGCGUAAUACCGUUCUUAGAGUUAGCAGGGUUCGGAUCAGCAGCAUUGAUCCGGACUUUUGAUUUGCGAUAUGACUUAAUUUCUGCUUUAGUUGAGCGAUGGCGUCCGGAGACGCACACAUUUCAUUUGCCAUGCGGGGAGUGCACCAUAACUUUAGAGGACGUUGCAGUACAGCUGGGGCUCCCCAUCGACGGGAACGUGGUCACGGGCGUAAGUUCGAUCUCGAGGCCGGCUCGCCUUUGCUACGAGUUACUUGGACGCUCCCCAAGUGAGGGGAAAUUUGCCACAUUGCGGGCCGGGGGGUGGGGGGCAGGGACACGUGGCGGGCUGCAGGGAAGUCGCGCCUCUGUAGCAGGAGCGAAUGGUCGCGCCUCCGGGUUUGGCUCGACCCGGUUUUGACCCGACUGAAUUUUAAAAAUUUAAAAAUUAUUAAAAUAUAAUAAUAAUAUUUAAAAUUUAAAAUAAUAAUAUUUAAAAAAAAUAAAAUUAUAUUAUUAAAAAAAUGGGUCGCGCCUGUCAGGUAGGCUCGACCCAAAAAAACAACCCAUUUCCGUAAAUAAUGUAUCUGACACCCUAUUUUGGUAUUUUAAAAUUUUUUUUAACCCAAUUGGGUAAAAAACCCGAGAUGGAUACAUUUAUAUUAUCUCGUAAUUUUUUAUAUUGACAAUCUCAUCAUUAAAUUUGUUAAUAUUUAAUUUAAAUGAAUCUCUCUUCAAUUUUAAAGAUUAAAAUAUGAAAAAAGAAUUUAAAGGAAAUUAUUUUUAAAAAAUAAUAAUAUAAAUUUUGAAAUUUAGGUGGUCUAUUUAUUAUGCCACCUUGAAUUGUGAGAAGCAUAUCGUGGAAGAUAACUGUCAAGGGUCAAUUAUCUUUUUUUGUUUAAAGAAUAUCUAAUUUAUUUUAAAUAGUACUAUAAUGAGUUUUUUUUUUUGUGGGUCAAUUGGACUGUCGGUCGAAGUGACAAAAAAAUAUAAAGGGCUAAUUUCAUUAUUUUGCCUUUUUUUUCUCUCUAAAAUCACCCAGAUUUAUAAUAAAAAAUUAUUCACUAAACAAUUUUUUGAAUAAAUCUCACUAUACAAAAUUAAAAUCUGGGGACACUACUUUGAAUAUAUUUUAUUUAGAUUAAAUUUUAUAUAUAAAUAAAAUUUCCAAAACAAACAUGUAUGUUAUUAAUUUGAAGUUAAAAUAAAAUAUGUUUUAUUAGAAAUCAAACACUAACUGUAAUUCUGAGAAUUUGGUUUGCUGUUAAUACAUAAUUUUAACAUAUCAAAAGAAAUCUAAACAAACAAAUUGAUACAUAAUUUUACUACAUCAGAAUAAAUCUAAACAAACUAUCCUAAAGAGUUUAGAUAAAAGUUAAAACUUCUAAAAUUAGAAAUAUUCCAUGAAUUACACUCAUCAUAUUUCUCUUAUAAAUUUACCAACUCUUAAACAUACUACACACAAAUUUUCUAGCAACCUAUUGACUAAGGUUUAUUUUUCUCUUCAUUUUCCCGUUUGCUUCUACUAUUUUAUAUUUUUUUAUUCUUUUAGUUUAGAAAUGAAACUUAAUUCAUUCAAGUAUUCAUUAACUUUUCUUUUCCCCUUGUACUUUGGCUUUGAUUUUGCAGGGAUCGAUUUGAUCAACAAAAACAUGGGAAAAACAUCAGUCCUUUUAGUGGGAUUUCUUUUCAGUUUCUUGGUCGUCACGGUACAAGCAGGAGAUAAGUACAAGAAAUAUAAUGACCCCAGUCUGCCGAUCAACAAGCGGAUUCGGGACCUGAUGCGACUGAUGAGUCUCGAUGAAAAGAUUGGUCAGAUGGUGCAAAUUGAUCGUAAAGUAGCCACUCCGGAGGUCAUGAGGGACUACAAAAUAGGCAGCAUUUUAAGUGGAGGAGGAAGCGUACCGCAUCUUCAAGCCACCCCACAGGAAUGGCUCAACAUGGUUAAUGGUUUCCAAAAUGGUUCACUCUCAACCAGGCUUGGGAUUCCAAUGAUUUAUGGCAUUGAUGCUGUCCAUGGACAUAACAAUGUCUAUAAGGCCACCAUAUUUCCUCAUAACAUUGGCCUUGGUGCUACAAGGUAAGACCGUUUUUUUUUCAGUUUCGUCCACUGCUAGUUAAGCUUUCUUCAAAGUUUUGAAAGAAAAUUACAGUAUUUUGUGACUAUGUGAUUAAAUCUCCGAUGUUAUAGGGAUCCUGAGCUUGUAAAGAGGAUUGGGUCUGCAACAGCUCGUGAAGUUAGAGCUACUGGCAUAAACUACGUUUUCGCACCCUGCAUUGCGGUAAUGAAGUAUUCGAUCAUCAGUCCGAUUUAAUUGUUUUUAUAGAGAAAUGUAUUCCAAUAACUUCAACGUCUACAAAAUUGAAGGUUUGCCGAGACCCGAGAUGGGGUCGAUGUUUUGAGAGCUACAGCGAAGAUCCUGACAUCGUCAAGGAAAUGACAGAAAUCAUUAAUGGAUUGCAAGGGGAAAUUCCAAAGGAUUCGCGUAAGGGUGUUCCUUAUGUUGGUGGAAAGUAAGUUAGUUAACUGCCAAUACACAAAUAUGGUUUUAUUUAUCAGUUUCAAGGAACUGAAACCAGUUUUGGGUUUUUGUUGUAUGGAAAAAGGGAUAAGGUGGUAGCAUGUGCCAAGCACUUCGUUGGAGAUGGUGGGACAACAAGGGGCAUCAAUGAAAACAACACAGUGAUCGAUAAGCAUGGAUUGCUUAGCAUUCACAUGCCAGGUUAUAACGCAGCCAUCAUUAAGGGAGUUGGGACAGUUAUGGUUUCUUACUCUAGUUGGAAUGGAGUGAAAAUGCAUGCUAAUCAUGAUCUUGUCACCAAUUUCCUCAAGGGCGCCCUUAGGUUCAGGGUAAAUUUGACUGCAACUCUUUAAAUUAAAAAGAAACCUGCAAGAGAAAUAUAUAAACAUUGUUUAUGACCUUUGCAUUUAAAUAUGUUCAAAUUUGCAGGGAUUUGUCAUCUCUGAUUGGCAGGCAAUUGAUAGGAUGACAUAUCCUGUGCAUGCCAACUAUACAUAUUCAGUUCUUACUGGUGUUCAAGCAGGUCUUGACAUGGUGAGUGGUUUUGACGAUUUAGAGUCCAACCAACCUCGACUUUGGAUUAAUUGUCAUCUAAUUUGAAACUUGUCUUCCACUUGUUUUGCAGAUUAUGGUUCCUUACAAUUAUACUGAGUUUAUUGAUACUUUGACUGGACUUGUGAAGAACAAAUUCAUCCCCAUGAAUCGUAUUGAUGAUGCUGUUAGAAGAAUUUUAAGAGUCAAAUUCCAACUUGGUUUAUUCGAAAACCCCUUAUCUGAUGAAAGCUUUAUUGAUCAGCUAGGACAUCAGGUUAUUGACCAUAUAUUCUUUUAACAUUUAAGACAAGCUUCCUAGUAUGCCAAGAUUUACCUGUUUGGUUUCUGUUACAGGCUCACAGAGAUUUGGCAAGGGAAGCUGUAAGAAAGUCGCUUGUUUUGUUGAAAAAUGGAGAAAAUGCUGAUGAGCCAAUGCUACCUCUUCCCAAGAAGUCAUCCAAGAUCCUGGUUGCCGGCAGCCAUGCUGAUGACUUGGGCAAUCAAUGCGGCGGUUGGACCAUCAACUGGCAAGGCGGUAGCGGAAACAAUUUAACUUCUGGUAAUAAACCAUUGUUGUCUCUUAAAACAUAGCUUUUAACAAAGUUACAGUCAUCAGACUACACUUAUUAACGCCUUUCAAAUCAACAGGAACCACCAUCCUGAAAGGAAUAGCAGAAGCCGUUGAUCCAAGCACAGAGAUUGUGUAUGAAGAAAACCCAGAAUUUGAUUAUGUCAAAUCCAACAACUUCUCCUACGGUAUUGUCGUUGUUGGUGAGCCUCCAUAUGCUGAAACAAACGGUGAUAAUUUGAACUUGACGAUCCCAUUACAAGGUCAAUAUACUCUUUACAAUGUCUGCGCCAAUAUCAAGUGUGUGGUGGUUUUAAUCUCUGGAAGACCACUUGUUAUAAUGCCUCAUUUAGAACAAGUUGAUGCACUGGUUGCUGCAUGGCUGCCGGGCACAGAAGGCAAAGGUGUGGCUGAUGUUCUAUUUGGAGACUAUGGUUUUAGUGGGAAACUGCCUCGGACUUGGUUCAAGACGGCUGAGCAGCUGCCAAUGAAUGUUGGGGAUUUGAACUACGACCCUUUGUAUCCCUUUGGUUAUGGGCUCACUACUCAACCUCUCAACGCCACAAGUUAGUUUCAGAGAGUCGAGUUGUCUUUUUGUCUUAAUGCUAAGUAGUUUUUUUGGUUCUUUUUGAAGAUUUAGCUGUCUUUUUAUGGAAUUAUUAGCAAAAUAAUGGUAGCAGUAAUCUUGUGUUAGAGUUUCGUAAAUAGGAUCCAAACUUCUUGAGCUGCCUAUUUGGUGUAAUUUUGUUUGUUGAAAAUAAAAAUGUGGUGCUUUUGAAGAAAAAGAAUUUAGUUUCUGAUUAAUGGGGUUUAUAAGAUAUUGAAGUGAAAUUAAAUUUUGUAGGAUAACAUGGAUUGAGGUAACAUUGUUUAUUAUUUAUUUUAAUUUUUAUGUUGAUCAUGAAAUUACAAUAAUUCAAUUUACACAUAAAUUAGAAUUGACAUAAAUUUAUCCGGUUCAAGCUUUAAACUUUUGAAUAGCCUUUAAAUUUAUAAAUGAUUAUUUUAAAUUAUUUAGUUAUUACAAAUUAGUUUUUUAGAAAAGUAAAAAAAUAAAAAUAAGUUUACAAAUUUACAAGUGAAAUGAUUUAAUUUCUUAAAAAGCAUGUGUCAUCUUAUAAAUUUGUGAAAUCUACUAAUUUAGCUGCCAUAAUCAUAUAUUUUUUAAAACGUUUACAGUAAUGACAAAUGAUCAUUGGAAAAUAGAUGCAAAGCAAGUCCACAAUCAUCUAUAUAAAUUCUACAUAUAUUAAAGAAAUUGAAAAUAUAAUACUAAAAAAUCAGGACAUAAAAAUUUAGAAGAUUUUUAGAAAUUGCCAAGAUACAAAAAUCAGUAUAGAAUUUAUAAUUGAGUUUUAAUUUAAUUGACAUUAACAUUGUUAUCAGCAUAGAAAUAUAAAAAGCAUUUAUCCUCUAAUUGAAGGAUUGAAGAAGGAUUAUGAAUAAUUUUAAGAACUUAAAUGGACAUAACUAUUUUCACAUAUUGAAGUUUACUUGAAAUAUAUAUGAAAAAUAUUUUGAAAUCCUACCGGACCUAACCCAGCCUACAAAUUAAUUUAUUUAAAAACAUAACAUAAACAUAUACUUUAUAUGCAUCUUUGAAAAAAAAAUUAAAGACACAUUUUUUGAAGUUCAAAAUAAAGAAUAAGGUAAAUUAUCGAUAAAAAAACAAUCAUAUAAAUUAUAAUAAAUCUUUAAUAGUAAUAUAAUAAGUCUCUAAUAGUAAACACAUAAAGGAAAGGAGGAAAAUUCUUUCCGUUCUUUUUGUUUAUUUCUUUUGUCUCUAUGUUAUCCUUUCAUUUUCGUUUGAAGGAUACUUGUUGAAUACAUAAGUAGGCGCAUUUACAGUGCUUGCCAUGCAUCUUGAUUUUAUAGGUGUCCCGUAAGAAAUGAAGUCCUUCUUAAAUAAAUCGUUUUUGACUAAUGUCUGUCAGCAAAUAUUACAAUAUUUUUAAUCAAAAUAUGGUCCAUAAUUUUUAUAGACAAUAUUUUUUGCAAACCCAUAUUUUAGACUUAAAAAUUUUGUCCAACUUAAUAGGAUAUGCCUCCAAGCCCUUAAAGACUCCUAAAAGCC